rnacentral:rRNA from 1 species
CACGUACUGGGCGAGCGUUAUUCGGAAUCACUGGGCUUACAGGGUGCGUAGGCGGCCGGCCAGGUCGGGUGUGAAAGGCCUUAGCUCAACUAAGGCAUAGCGCCCGAAACCGUUCGGCUCGAGUCAGCUAGGGGCACGCGGAACUUCCGGUGGAGCGGUGAAAUGUGUUGAUAUCGGAAGGAACGCCGGUGGCGAAAGCGGCGUGCUGGGGCUGAACUGACGCUGAGGCACGAAAGCCAGGGGAGCGAACGGG